rnacentral:rRNA from 1 species
AGUGAACGCUGGCGGUAGGCCUAACACAUGCAAGUCGAACGGCAGCACAGUAAGAGCUUGCUCUUUCGGGUGGCGAGUGGCGGACGGGUGAGGAAUACAUCGGAAUCUACUUUUUCGUGGGGGAUAACGUAGGGAAACUUACGCUAAUACCGCAUACGACCUACGGGUGAAAGCAGGGGAUCUUCGGACCUUGCGCGAUUGAAUGAGCCGAUGUCGGAUUAGCUAGUUGGCGGGGUAAAGGCCCACCAAGGCGACGAUCCGUAGCUGGUCUGAGAGGAUGAUCAGCCACACUGGAAGUGAGACACGGUCCAGACUCCUACGGGAGGCAGCAGUGGGGAAUAUUGGACAAUGGGCGCAAGCCUGAUCCAGCCAUACCGCGUGGGUGAAGAAGGCCUUCGGGUUGUAAAGCCCUUUUGUUGGGAAAGAAAAGCAGCAGGUUAAUACCCCGCUGUUCUGACGGUACCCAAAGAAUAAGCACCGGCUAACUUCGUG